GUUCACCAUGGUUCAAUCAGUAGAGCAUUGUGGUAGAAACGCAAAGAUCAUGGAUUCAAACCCCACUGAAAACA